AUCCAAUGACAACUCACAAAUCAACAGUUGUUUUUUGUUCGAUCGCAAGUGGCUGCCAAAUGUAUCAAUUUAUACCAGGAUAUUACCAAGCAAGUCUUCCAAGUAUUUGAAUUUAAUUUAGGACUUGUAUUUCAGAAGAAAUGGUUCAACUUAUAACAGAACUUCUCCACACUUAGCAUGGACAUAUUUGACAAAAUUACAUAUCAGGUAUGCAUGAGCAAUCACCUGUUUAAGAAAAGACAAUCACUGUGCCCACCUAUUAAGCCUCCGUCUGAUGCGAUUUCACACAAGUGUACCCAGACAUCAAAGCUGACAUGGAAGACGACAUAAAACUUCAAAGAGAAUGCCUGUGGAUAUCUGGCUAUGACUGGCGAUAAACGAUAAAUGGCAACCUGUACACAUCUGAACAAGGGCGGGCAAAGAAAUGAAACGCCUUAACGAGUGUCACAACCUGACAGAGAACACCAUCAGUUUUGUAAUUAACUAUUUAACGACUGUGUUAUUACAUUAAAAAAGGAGGAAUGGUUGAUCUUAUUUAAUUAAUGUCUUCAGGACUAUAGUCAGUAAAGGAUAUCAAGGGGGGUCUGAAAAAGUGGACCCAUUUACCCUAUUUGAUGACUUAAGCUGAGAAAUGACAUGGAAUCCAUAUCAAACUUUGAUUUAGAACAGUUCUUUUCCAGCAAAAUGGGAGAUUUUUUUUUUUUUUUUUUGAAUACCACCCCUACCUACAGACAGUGAUUUUGCCAAGACAAUAUUUAUGAAUUCAUCAUUACUGCCUCUAAGUACUGUAAUCAACAUUUCAAAAAAGACUGAUUCACUUCA